rnacentral:rRNA from 1 species
AAACGGGUGAGUAACACGUGGGUGACCUGCCUUCGAGUGGGGGAUAACGUCCCGAAAGGGACGCUAAUACCGCAUGACAUCCUGCCUUUGAACAGGCGGUGAUUAAAGCUGGGGAUCGCAAGACCUGGGCUUGAAGAGGGGCCCGCGCCCGAUUAGCUAGUUGUGGGGUAAUGGCCUACCAAGGCUUCGAUCGGUAGCCGGCUGAGAGGGCGGACGGCAGGACUGGGACUGAGCCCCGGGUCAAGACCUUUAUACGGGAGCAGGUGGUCAAUUUGCUCGGCAUGGGCUGCAAGGCCCUGAGUAUGCCAGCGCCGCGUGGAGGACUGAAGAUUUGCUGGAUCGUAAACUCCUUUCGCAUCGGUACGAAUCGCUCUCCGACCUAUUAUCGUCGGGGGACUGACGGUACCGAGAGAAUGAUAGCCCCGGCUAUACUCCGUGCCAGC